GACGAACGCUGGCGGCGUGCCUAAUACAUGCAAGUAGAACGCUGAAGAGAGGAGCUUGCUCUUCUUGGAUGAGUUGCGAACGGGUGAGUAACGCGUAGGUAACCUGCCUUGUAGCGGGGGAUAACUAUUGGAAACGAUAGCUAAUACCGCAUAACAAUGGAUGACACAUGUCACUUAUUUGAAAGGGGCAAUUGCUCCACUACAAGAUGGACCUGCGUUGUAUUAGCUAGUAGGUGAGGUAAUGGCUCACCUAGGCGACGAUACAUAGCCGACCUGAGAGGGUGAUCGGCCACACUGGGACUGAGACACGGCCCAGACUCCUACGGGAGGCAGCAGUAGGGAAUCUUCGGCAAUGGGGGCAACCCUGACCGAGCAACGCCGCGUGAGUGAAGAAGGUUUUCGGAUCGUAAAGCUCUGUUGUAAGUCAAGAACGGGUGUGAGAGGGAAAGUUCACAC
rnacentral:rRNA from 1 species